rnacentral:rRNA from 1 species
GACGAACGCUGGCGGCGUGCUUAACACAUGCAAGUCGAGCGGUAAGGCCCUUUCGGGGGUACACGAGCGGCGAACGGGUGAGUAACACGUGGGUGACCUGCCCUUAGCUCUGGGAUAAGCCUGGGAAACUGGGUCUAAUACCGGAUAUGACUCCAUGACGCAUGUUGUGGGGUGGAAAGCCUUGUGCGGCUAGGGGAUGGGCCCGCGGCCUAUCAGCUUGUUGGUGGGGUGANGGCCUACCAAGGCGACGACGGGUAGCCGGCCUGAGAGGGCGACCGGCCACACUGGGACUGAGACACGGGCCCAGACUCCUACGGGAGGCAGCAGUGGGGAAUCUUGCGCAAUGGGCGAAAGCCUGACGCAGCGACGCCGCGUGAGGGAUGACGGCC